UCUAUUAGAAUUUUGAAAAAACUUCCCUUAAAAUCCUUGUACGACGACGUAAAAGGCUUAAGAAAACACACGUUGGAUUUGCUAAUAAGGGAUAGCCACCCCGACCGUUUACCAGGCCGAGAACUAUAAUAGUAUAGAAAAGCAGAGGGACUAGGAGAAAGUGACAAUAAUUUACACAAAAUACUGAAUGCUUGCAUCGCAGCCCAACCAUUAGGAUGAAGCUGAGUAGGAGCAACAUUAAGGAAAUUAAGAACGCCCAUUUGAAAAUUGUUCAAAGGCAAUCGAAUAUGAAGAUCUCUGAAAAAGCAAGCAUAAAAAUAAAAAAAUUCAUAGCUAUCACCUUCUCGGCCAUGACACACAUUAUCAACAUCUCCAACACGCCGAAAUGAAAUGAUAUCAUUUUCAAUAUCAGAAUAAUAAAUUUGAGAAUGGGAAAGAAAACUCCGAAGUUCGUUAGCAGAACGAUACUUCGAGAAA
rnacentral:lncRNA from 1 species